GACGAACGCUGGCGGCGUGCCUAAUACAUGCAAGUAGAACGCUGAAGGAGUAGCUUGCUUCUCUGGAUGAGUUGCGAACGGGUGAGUAACGCGUAGGUAACCUGCCUUGUAGCGGGGGAUAACUAUUGGAAACGAUAGCUAAUACCGCAUAAGAGUAGAUGUUGCAUGACAUUUGCUUAAAAGGUGCAAUUGCAUCACUACCAGAUGGACCUGCGUUGUAUUAGCUUGUUGGUGGGGUAACGGCUCACCAAGGCGACGAUACAUAGCCGACCUGAGAGGGUGAUCCGCCAACAUGGGAACGGGACAAGGGCCAGAAUCCUAAGGGGGGCAGCAGGAGGGAAUCAUCGGCAAUGGACGGAAGUCUGACCGAGGAACGACGGGUGAGGGAAGAAGGUUUUCGGAUCGUAAAGGUCUGUUGUAAGAGAAGAAAGAGUGUGAGAGUGGAAAGUUCACACUGUGACGGUAUCUUACGAGAAAGGGACGGCUAACUACGUG
rnacentral:rRNA from 1 species